UACGUAGGGCGCAAGCGUUGUCCGGAAUUAUUGGGCGUAAAGAGCUCGUAGGCGGCUUGUCACGUCGGGUGUGAAAGCCCGGGGCUUAACCCCGGGUCUGCAUUCGAUACGGGCUAGCUAGAGUGUAGGGGAGAUCGGAAUUCCUGGUGUAGCGGUGAAAUGCGCAGAUAUCAGGAGGAACACCGGUGGCGAGGGCGGAUCUCUGGGCCAUUACUGACGCUGAGGAGCGAAAGCGUGGGGAGCGAACAGG
rnacentral:rRNA from 1 species